ensembl:lncRNA
CUGGCUGUGCCUGGGCUCCGCACGGCUGCUCCUCUCCCCGGUGUCUGUCAGAGCCACUCUGUGGCAGCUGAUGCAGCUUCUGAAACCUCUGAGGCACUGGGGAGGACGGUUCUGUGUGGCGGGGAGCUCUGGGGCCGUCAUCAGAGAGAUGUCAGGGAUGAGGGCACCCACAGCAAGCAGCUCCUCUGGGGGCCGAGCUGAGGCAGGACUUGCCUGAGCCCAAACAGGCACUGCUGGUGAUGACCUGUGAAGUGUUCACAGCACGUCUGGCACAGAGCAAAAAGAUCUCAAGUCUGAUCCCAGAAGCUAAACUCGAUGAUGAGAGCAGUCCCCCAAAGAGGAGAACAUUUCUCAUCACGUAUUUGAAGAGAGCAGCCAUGGAAGCAGAUCUGACUCAACCCAGCAAGGUGGUGUUCAGGGGCAGAGAGGCAUCGUGAGAAGCAACCUGCGCUCCGCAUCCUUUCCAUUCGUUGUUUCUGGCACUAGAGGGCAGAAGAACGGAGCCGGGAUGCUCACAGCGAGACCCGGCUCCUUCCUGCCGCUGUCUCAGGGCGAGAAACCUAUCUGGAAAGGCUUUUCCCUCUGCCCGUCUCCAACGCCCAUCAAGGGCUCCAUGCCUCAUUAGCAUUAUUAAUGUUUAAUAGUGAAAUGUCGCAUCUCGGAUGCAGUACUAUACAGGGAGCAAGUCUACGUGCUCGCCUGCAGCAGCA